CUUUUCUAAUUUCUCACACUAGGGAAAAAUGCACCAUGUCACGAGAACAUUCAAGCAGUCCCACGGUGAAGCCCAUGUAUAGAGGAACUGAGGUCUUCAACCAUUAGCUGGACCCAACUUGACAGGCAUAAGCUCUUGAAAAGUACAUCAAGUCUAAAGUGAACCGGCUCACUCUUGGGUAGUACUGGAACCAUGAGCAAUAAUGGAACAGACUUAACCACUGGUUUCAUCUCCUCUUCUGUGGCUGUCCUUUUGUUUGGCUCAAACUUUGUACCACUUAAAAAAUAUGAUACUGGUGAUGGAAUGUUUCUCCAGUGGGUACUUUGUGCUGCCAUAUGGAUGAUUGCCCUGGCGGUCAAUCUGAUACUACAUUGCCCUAAAUUUUGGCCUUUUGCAAUGGUUGGGGGCUGCAUUUGGGCAACAGGGAAUAUUGCUGUUGUCCCAAUUAUCAAAACCAUUGGUUUAGGCCUUGGAAUAUUAAUCUGGGGAUCUUUUAAUGCCUUAACUGGCUGGGCAAGCUCAAGGUUUGGCUGGUUUGGAAUGGAUGCAGAAGAAGUGUCAAAACCAGUGCUAAAUUACAUUGGAGCUGGAUUAUCGGUAGUAAGUGCUUUCAUAUUUUUGUUCAUCAAAAGCGAAAUACCAAGUAGCGCGAGUUCUGUGGACACCACACCGUUAAUGACAGAGCAUGUGAUCAACAAAAUUCAAGAUCCCUGUCGUGACUAUUCCUGGGUGGAUAAACUCUCCACACUGCAACAGCGCAUAGUGGGCUGCAGUCUUGCAGUGAUAUCUGGAAUACUCUACGGGUCUACGUUUGUGCCAAUCAUUUAUAUAAAGGACCACAGCAAAAGAAAUGAUAGCAUAUACACAGGGGCAAGCCAGUAUGAUUUAGACUAUGUUUUUGCACACUUCAGUGGCAUCUUUCUUACAAGUACAGUCUACUUUUUCGCCUACUGUAUAGCCAUGAAAAAUAACCCUAAGCUAUAUCCUGAAGCAGUCUUGCCAGGUUUCCUGUCAGGAGCUCUUUGGGCAAUAGCUACCUGCUGUUGGUUCAUAGCUAACCACUCUCUCAGUGCUGUGGUCAGUUUUCCAAUAAUCACUGCUGGUCCAGGAUUUAUAGCUGCAAUGUGGGGUGUCUUCAAGUUUAAGGAAAUACAGGGUCUACAAAACUACCUAUUGAUGAUAUUUGCAUUUUGCAUCAUCUUGACUGGCGCAUUAUGCACGGCUUACUCUAAAAUCUAACAGUCAUAAGACCAGCAGAUGGCAGCAGUGGGUAAGAGAACACCACUACGGGACUCCACAAAUAUGCCAAGGACAGAGUUCAUUUUCAUACAGCAAAUGGAUCUCCACUUGUCUUGGACUGGGUUUGCUUCUUGAAUUCUGUGAUGUUAUACUAUUUAGUUCAGAAGAAUGAAUUCCAGUUAGAUCUUCUUUGCAAAAGGCAGAUCCCAGGCCUCCUGAAUCCAGGACCUGAGACAUGGAAAAGGGAUGCUUUUCACAAGCUUACCAGGGAUCUUUUGAAUUCCACCAAAUCUUAUUUUGCAAAGUUUCAAACAUAUUGAAAAUUUGUGCAACAAACCCAGUUGACUGUUACACUAAAGGCCACUAUGUACCUCUGAGACAUCAACAAAGGAAUCUGCCGCAAGCAGAGACUGGAUGAGCACAUGCCUAUUGGGGCCAUCCUCCAGGAGGGCUGCUGGUACCAGCCCCCUUGAAAAUGAAGAGCCUAAGAAGAGAGGAUUCCAGCCAUCGAGUCAUUCCCUCUAGCUGCAUGAGUAAGUGCUAACAAUAUCAAUGGAAGAACCUCCCAACCCACAGAACCCUGAGAAACAAUAAAUUAUUUUUUAAGCCA